rnacentral:rRNA from 1 species
AGAUUGAACGCUGGCGGCAUGCCUUACACAUGCAAGUCGAACGGUAGAGUAGCAAUACUUGAGAGUGGCGAACGGGUGAGUAAUAUAUCGGAACGUGCCCAGUCGUGGGGGAUAACGUAGAGAAAUUUACGCUAAUACCGCAUACGGUCUAAGGAUGAAAGCGGGGGACUCGCAAGAGCCUCGCGCGAUUGGAGCGGCUGAUAUCAGAUUAGGUUGUUGGUGAGGUAAAAGCUCACCAAGCCGACGAUCUGUAGCUGGUUUGAGAGAACGACCAGCCACACUGGGACUGAGACACGGCCCAGACUCCUACGGGAGGCAGCAGUGGGAAUUUUGGACAAUGGGCGAAAGCCUGAUCCAGCAAUGCCGCGUGCAGGAAGAAGGCCUUCGGUUGUAAACUGUCUUUGUACGGUAACGAACGGUCUGUCUUUAAUACGAGCGGACUAAGUGACGGUACCGUAAGAA